CCCAGAAUCCCUUUAUCUGCAUGGUCCAGGAUUAAAGUUUUCUAGUGAGAAGCAUGCGGGAGGCGUGAUUGAUGACAAGGCAUUAUUUUUUGGAAGCAGAUGCAUCCAGACCCAUGAGCACAUGGAAGAAACAACACUUGGUUCAGGAGGCUGCUGCUCAGGCGUGUCCACACCGACCUCUCGUUCCCUGGGGACACCUGAAAUCGGUCAGGCAGCCCGUCUGCUCCUCCCCGGCUACUGGCGCAGACCCUCCGCUUUCCAGCCUCUCUGCCUGUGGCCCACAGUGGCAACACUGGUAGGAUUGGCCCAGGAGGCCCCUGCCACAGCCGGAUGGAGAGGUUCCCAAAGCCCGUGUGACACACGAUCACAAGUUCCUAUUCUCUCAUUUGGGAUAAUGA